CCGUCCGGAGAGCAAGACGG
rnacentral:snRNA from 1 species